CCUACGGGAGGCAGCAGUGAGGAAUAUUGGUCAAUGGGCGCGAGCCUGAACCAGCCAAGUAGCGUGAAGGAUGACUGCCCUAUGGAUUGUAAACUUCUUUUAUAAAGGAAUAAAAUGUUCCACGUGUGGGAUUUUGUAUGUACCAUAUGAAUAAGGAUCGGCUAACUCCGUGCCAGCAGCCGCGGUAAUACGGAGGAUCCGAGCGUUAUCCGGAUUUAUUGGGUUUAAAGGGUGCGUAGGCGGAUUGUUAAGUCAGGUGUGAAAUUUUGCGGCUCAACCGUAAAAUUGCAGUUGAAACUGGCAGUCUUGAGUACAGUAGAGGUGGGCGGAAUGCGUGGUGUAGCGGUGAAAUGCUUAGAUAUCACGAAGAACUCCGAUUGCGAAGGCAGCACACUGGACUGCAACUGACACUGAAGCUCGAAAGUGUGGGUAUCGAACAGGAUUAGAUACCCGGGUAGUC
rnacentral:rRNA from 1 species